CUCCUCCUCCUCCUGCUUCUUCUCUCAGUCCCUUCCCUCCCUCCCCCCCAGAAACGUGUCCCUUUUCAAGUUGCAAAAGCAGCCAGGGCGAAGCGGGCUGUCGCGAGAGGCAUUCAGGAGGGUGACCCUGGGGAGGAGAGGGAAGAGAGGGCGACGGGGGGAAGAAGCAGGAGGAGGAGGAG